AAAUAAAUUAUGUACACUGACGCUAACAUGGGAGGUUGAGCCUGGUGAUGUUAAGUUGGUCGAAGUGGGCGAACGUAAUCUCGAACGUCCAGAUACGAAACUUGAGUAAUUCUUCGAGAUCUAUCGCUGCACAUUCAAUUCUUUUUUCUCUUUCGAGCAGAGAUAAAAAGAAAACAUAACUCUUCGUUUGCUCAACUCUGUGUUUUAAUUUCGAAAAAAUCCUUCAUCUCCUUCGCUGAAUCACAACAACAACAAUUCUUGCCGAAAGAAAGAAACACAAGUGUAUGUUCUUCUCUCUAAGAAUCGAUAUGAGAAGAUAGAUUACUUGACAAUACGUUACUGAUUGGGGUUCUGUUUUGCUGUUUCUCGUCGACAAAAAUCAAGCAGAAGGCGAUUUCCAUAUGUUUCCCAACAAAAACCUAAAAAGACAACGCUAGGAAUAUGGGAUCUUUUUCAAUCUUCACAGAUAUGGAACAGAGAGUCUGUAGAGAGUUGGAUGAUCGGUUCUGAUUGAACAAUGGGAAUCAUGGAAGCAUUUAUUCUUUUGGAUGCAAUCAUGAAUGAUAGAGAACUUAGCUGGGUGAAUAAUUUAGAAUUGGAAGGAAUUCUUUUCAGUGCAAGGACUAUUACAGGUACCAAAAGAGGUUCUCUUGGAAAGAUGGGUGGUCGCCAAGGACUGACGUGCUUAUUAUUACUCCUAACAAUCUUGCUGAUGUUGAUGGGCUUAUCUUUGGUAGAUGAGCCUAAUGGUGUUCUUUUAUUUUAGCUAUUCAGAGAUUCAAUCAUCAAGUGUAGCAUUCAAAAGCCAUGAAAGAAACUAGAUUUCUUUCCAAAGAAAGAAGCUUCUACCCUUUAGUUUUGUAACUGGUAGCUGGAACACUAAAUAGCGUCAAGGUACAAUUUUAUGAAAACCACUUUAUAGAACAAUGUAUGCAUAUAAUUCGUAUUAUGAUACUCAUGCAAUGUUAUUUUUCUUUCUAUUAUAUUUGAUUGAAAAUGUCUUGGAUGGAGUACAAGAGAUCUGAAAACCUCCAUCUUACUUUGUAUAUAACACAAAUCCUCUGUGAGAUCACCGACAGCUUGAAAA